rnacentral:rRNA from 1 species
GCUUGUCUCAAAGAUUAAGCCAUGCAUGUGUUAGUAUAAACGCCUUUAUACUGUGAAACUGCGAACGGCUCAUUAUAUCAGUUAUAGUUUAUUUGAUACUUUUCGACUAUUGGAUAACCGUAGUAAUUCUAGAGCUAAUACAUGCGCCAAGUCCCGUCUUACGUCGGGAUGUAUUUAUUAGAUACAAAACCAACCCGGGCAACCGGUCCUUUGGUGAUUCAUGAUAACUUUGCGAAUCGCAUAGCUUUAAUGCUGGCGAUGGGUCAUUCAAAUUUCUGCCCUAUCAACUUUCGACGGUAGGAUAGAGGCCUACUGUGGUGAUAACGGGUAACGAAGAAUAAGGGUUCGAUUUCGGAGAGGGAGCCUGAGAAACGGCUACCACAUCCAAGGAAGGCAGCAGG